GGCAUCGGCGGCUGAAACUGAGGGAAAACAAAUGGUUGCUGUUGUGCGUGCUGUGGAAACCAAGACUGUUGCAAAUAUAAUAUAUUAGUUAUAGAACCAAUAUCGAGCGUGUUGAGAAUAAAUAAGACACUCACGUUUAUUGCUUGUUGCGCCUGUGCGUUGUAAGCAGCCAUGUACUCUGAUUGCUGUUGGAGGAAUGCCAUUUGUUGUUGCCGCAGCUCUUCACGAAACUUUUCUUGCUGCUCCCUCAUAGCUUCCUCCAUGCUAGAUACAGAGCGGCGACUACGUCUGCUACUACCAUAGCCCGCCUGCGACGAAG
rnacentral:lncRNA from 1 species